UACAUGGGGGGCAAGCGUUGUUCGGAAUUACUGGGCGUAAAGGGCGCGUAGGCGGCCACCGCAAGUCGACUGUGAAAUCUCCGGGCUUAACCCGGAAAGGUCAGCCGAUACUGCGGGGCUAGAGUGCAGAAGGGGCAACUGGAAUUCUCGGUGUAGCGGUGAAAUGCGUAGAUAUCGAGAGGAACACCUGCGGCGAAGGCGGGUUGCUGGGCUGACACUGACGCUGAGGCGCGAAAGCUAGGGGAGCGAACGGG
rnacentral:rRNA from 1 species